rnacentral:RNase_P_RNA from 1 species
CAAGCAAGCCAUCUUAUCGCCCCGACAAGUCGGGGAGGAAAGUCCGGGCACCAUAGGGAAGCAUAGCGGCUAACGGCCGUCACCCCGACUUGUCGGGGAAGGACUAGUGCAACAGAAAGGAUGUACAGGUAAUGCUGUAGUGAAAUCAGGUAAACUCUAUGCGGUGAAAUGCCACGUAAGCCUACGUUUGAGGGUACCCGCCCAAUGUAGGUGGGUAGGCAGAUUGAUCUUGACAGCAAUGUCUCGACUAGAUAAAUGAUAAGAACGUCUCGAUUAGUCGAGAUAUGACAGAACCCGGCUUAUCGGCUUGUUUUUAAA